CCUACGGGAGGCUGCAGUGAGGAAUAUUGGUCAAUGGCCGGAAGGCUGAACCAGCGAUGCCGCGUGAAGGUCAGAGCCCUAUGGUCUGUAAACUUCUUUUUUGCGGGAACAAUGAUAUUCACGUGUGUCCAUACGAGGGUACCGUAAGAUUAAGCAUCGGCUAACUCGUUGCAAGCAGCCGCGGUAAUACGGGCGAUGCUAGCGUUAUCCGGGUUUGUGGGGUUUGAGGGGUGCGUAGGCUGUGAGGUAAGUCAUCGGUGAAAUGCCCCCGCUCAACGGGGUGAAGUGCCAGUGAUACUGUAUUGCUGGAAUGCAGAUGCGGUAGGAGGAAUGUGUGGUGUAGCGGUGAAAGGCAUAGAUAUCACACAGAACACCGAUGGCGAAGGCAUCUCACGAAUCUGUGAUUGACGUUGAUGCACGAAAGCGUGGGUAUCAAACAGGAUUAGAUACCCGGGUAGUC
rnacentral:rRNA from 1 species